CUGGGAGCUGCCUGACUUCCUCACACAGUCACUCCCCUAAGGCUCCCAACAGAAAAGAUGAUGCUUGCUGGAUAGAACAGAAAUCCACAGGGAAGGACAAACAUAAAGAGUCUGCAGGAAAAUGGCCAGCAACCAAGUCCUCCUGGUUCUCCUCUGGGGUGGAAUCUGGAAAUCGCUUUCUACAGCAAUACCUCAAAACAUUGCCAUGAAUAAAAGAAACGCCAACAGCAGUAGCAGGAGUCCAGCAGAAGACAAAGCUCCUCUCCAGCAGUGGCAGGAGACAGACCUUGGUUUGCAGCGGUCUGGAAGAGCCCUCCCUGCUCCACCACCCACAGCAGAACCUGGUGACAGCAGCUGGGUAGCACCACUGAUCGUUGGCAUCAUUUUGAUUGGUAUGCUAAUGGCUAUUACUGUAAUAAUUGUGUGGAAAUGCUGCAAGAGGCCAGUUCUGGUUGACUCACACUGGGCAGGUGGUUCUCCAUUUGCAGAUGGAGAAAUGCCAGAUGUCUUUGUGGACUCAGAGCAGGCUACCACACGUUCAUCAGUGUUAUUUAUGUUGCCUUGGAAAAUGAAACAAGACACACACUUCCAACAGGAUCCCAUUGCAUCAGAGAAGCCACCCACCUGCACUACCAGUAACACCACCAACCAGCUGCCUCCACCAGCUGAAAACUGCUCCCUGGCCAGGGCUUCGGGUGCCCACACGGACGCAGCUCCAGCUCCCACCUCAGAUGCAGCAAGUUGUGCCCCUGUGUGCUCUCCUCAUCCAGUGUCUUCACCUGAAUGCCCAGACCUGCCACCUCCUCCUGAAUGGUUUGGGGAACCAGCUGAGGAUCACAGUGCAGACCUCAGGAAGGACCAGGAAUUUCACUCAGAAGCAGAGGAACAAUUUCCCCCACCACCCGAGUUACUUUGUCAAGAGAUCCAUGAACCACUGCCCCAGUGACAACACCCUCUGUAGGGUGCCCAAACUGAUUUCCAGCAUCCUCCACAUUUCUCUUAAAUGAAGUAUAUUUCAAACAGCUUAAAAAAAAAAGAGAAAAGAAAAAA